GGGGAAAGAGGCUGACGGUGUGUAUGUCUACGAGUGUCAGUGUCUGAGCUUCUUCGAGAGGCGGCGGAUCGGCUUGGAGGAAUAGAGUACUGUAAUCAAGAAAGUUCACAAGUUCAUUUUAACUUUGUUUCCAAAGUUGAGAGACGCGGGCAGGUUCGAGCUGCUGAAAAUGUCUGGAACUACACAGAGCCAUCAUCUUAUACCUGUCCCAUGCCCCAAUCAGGGCUACAGUGUGAGAUAUCUGAAAGACCCUUGUCUCGUGCUACUCUGUACAUUCACCCGCUGUAAAGGAAUUUGCGUAUGGAGCAUGAACUAAAUGAUUGAGUUGUUGCUCAAUGUGGACCCCUGACUCAAUGUGGACCCCUGACACAAUGCCUAAACUGUGAAGAAUAACUUUACUUUACACAAAUAAGAAGGCACAGUGAAGCCUGCUCAAGGUAAUGCUCUGAAUGGGAAAUUAAUCAUGGUGAUGUUGGGAAAAUAUGAUAUUCUCCAUUUAUGGAAGGUGCACUCAUUACAAAUGAUGGUGUGGCCAUGUUGCACAUCAAUAACAACUCUUAAGUAGUUUCAUCAUUUGUUAGUUCAGACGUGGAAUAGGCACAAUUUAAUUGAGCAGUUAUGGGUGUUAAUUUCUUGGUUCAUUGUUGCUGUACAUUUCUUUAUGAUAAAGAUGAUAAUUACAACACUUCACGAUCAGGCUGGGAGCUGUUGUAGAGGGGUGUUGUGAAAAUGUUCUGUUUAGAUAACUGUUAGUAUCUGAUACAACUAACUCCUCGGCUCAACUCGUCAAGUCAAUCACAGGCUGAAAGGGCGGGAGAGAAUGAAAGGGAGAAUGAAGGUGCAGCUAUCCCUAGAGCCGGCGGGACAAGUUCCUCCACCG